UACGUAGGGGGCAAGCGUUGUCCGGAAUCAUUGGGCGUAAAGAGCGUGUAGGCGGCUUGGUAAGUCCGCUGUGAAAGUCCAGGGCUCAACCCUGGAAUGCCGGUGGAAACUGUCAAGCUUGAGUCCGGAAGAGGCGAGUGGAAUUCCUGGUGUAGCGGUGAAAUGCGUAGAUAUCAGGAGGAACACCGGUGGUGUAGACGGCUCUCUGGACCGUAACUGACGCUGAGGCACGAAAGCGUGGGUAGCAAACAGG
rnacentral:rRNA from 1 species